CAAAGGAAUUGACGGGACCCGCACAAGCGGUGGAUGAUGUGGAUUAAUUCGAUGCAACGCGAAAACCUUACCUACCCUUGACAUGUCUGGAACCUUGCUGAGAGGCGAGGGUGCCUUCGGGGGCCAGAACACAGGUGCUGCAUGGCUGUCGUCAGCUCGUGUCGUGAGAUGUUGGGUUAAGUCCCGCAACGAGCGCAACCCUUGUCAUUAGUUGCCAUCAUUUAGUUGGGCACUCUAAUGAGACUGCCGGUGACAAACCGGAGGAAGGUGGGGAUGACGUCAAGUCCUCAUGGCCCUUACGGCCAGGGCUACACACGUGCUACAAUGGUCGGUACAAAGGGUUGCCAAGCCGCGAGGUGGAGCUAAUCCCAUAAAACCGAUCGUAGUCCGGAUCGCAGUCUGCAACUCGACUGCGUGAAGUCGGAAUCGCUAGUAAUCGUGAAUCAGAAUGUCACGGUGAAUACGUUCCCGGGCCUU
rnacentral:rRNA from 1 species